rnacentral:rRNA from 1 species
GAUGAACGCUGGCGGCGUGCCUAAUACAUGCAAGUCGAGCGAAUGGAUUAAGAGCUUGCUCUUAUGAAGUUAGCGGCGGACGGGUGAGUAACACGUGGGUAACCUGCCCAUAAGACUGGGAUAACUCCGGGAAACCGGGGCUAAUACCGGAUAAUAUUUUGAACUGCAUGGUUCAAAAUUGAAAGGCGGCUUCGGCUGUCACUUAUGGAUGGACCCGCGUCGCAUUAGCUAGUUGGUGAGGUAACGGCUCACCAAGGCAACGAUGCGUAGCCGACCUGAGAGGGUGAUCGGCGACACUGGGGCUGAGACACGGCCCAGACUCCUACGGGAGGAAGCAGUAGGGAAUCUUCCGCAAUGGACGAAAGUCUGACGGAGCAACGCCGCGUGAGUGAUGAAGGCUUUCGGGUCGUAAAACUCUGUUGUUAGGGAAGAACAAGUGCUUGUUGAAUAAGCUGGCACCUUGACGGUACCUAACCAGAAAGCCACGGCUAACUACGUGCCAGCAGCCGCCGUAA